CAGCCUCUUCUCUCAGCUCGCAGUCAUGUACUCCAUACUCACCUACUCCAUAAGCCUCCUUCUCUCGUGCAAGUAAGCCCCUCCGGCCACCAUCACCGCCCACCAUCACCACCGGCUCCUCUCCUCCAAAGUCCGGUCGUUCUUCUCCUCCAAAAUUCACAGUGCUGGCCUCCAGACUCUGGCCUUUCUUCUUCACCGGCCUAGCUGCGUCCUCCUCUACGUCAUCUUCACCGGCGACGAGGGAUUAGAUGGUAUUAACAUCUUCUAAGUCGUACGAGAUGGUAUUAACCAGAAAGAGUCAAAUGUGAAAAGAUUGAUGGAUGAGUUGCAGGGAGAUCUUUUCGAGGUGUUUAUGAAUACAAAUUACUAGCUUUCGUCCCUCUAUGCAUCAACAUGAAGAUCAGUGACAGUUUGCCAUAAUUUAAGAUGUAAGAGAAUCAAAAUGAAGGUCAAGAUCAUGUGUUAAUGAGGGCGAUAUCAAGAUCAUGUAAAUGAGUUUGUUGAAACUUUCUCGUGAUCGAUCAAUAAUAGCUUGGCAGCUGGUUAUAUCACGCGCAUUUAAACAGGUCCAACUAUUUGUCAUGAAGAAGAGCUGGAUAAAAUUUACUGAAGUUGAGGCAAUCACUCGUCAAACUGGAAUUAAACGUUUGGUUGUAGCUCACAAGAAGUAAAUCAUUUGCUGUAUUCAUGCUGCGGAAGUGCUGAAGUACUGCUUUCUUUGGGAGUUGACGAACUGCUAAAUAAAGUUCAACAUACAGAGGAUAUCGUUUGAAGAAGGGAAUGUUGUUGAGACUCUUGAAGAAGCCAAAUCUACUCUCCAACAAUUAAUAAAGAAUUGUGAGAUUUACAUAUUCAGAAAUGAACAGAGUGAAAACUUUAUGAUCUAUUAACUAUGGUGACUAUGGCGGCGUUAUAGACGGAGGUAAAGUAGGAGCUUCUCUUUUUUUCUCGAAUUUGGUUUCUUUUACAUAAUUACAUGUUUAGGACAAUAGGCGUGCAUGACGAACUUGAAAUGAGUUUUAUUAAAAUAUAACUAAUCAUAUGAAUCAUUAAAAAGGUUUAGAAUGUGGAAAUAGGUUCGUUUGUUGGUAGUUGGAAUCGAAAAUGCCAUUUUUGGCCAUAAAUGACCUAUAUCGACCCAGAUGACCAAUAGGCGUGUAUAACAAACUUGAAAUGAGUCUUAUAAACAUAUAACUAAUCAUAUGAAUCAUGAAAAAGUUUUAGAAUUUGAAUAUAAGUUCGUUUGUUGAUAGUUGGGAUCGAAAAUGCCAUUUUUGGCCAUAAAUGACCUAUAUCGACCCAAAUGAACCAUAGGCGUGCAUAACAAACUUGAAAUGAGUUUCAUAAACAUAUAACUAAUCAUAUGAAUCAUUAAAAAGGUUUAGAAUGUGGAAAUAGGUUCGUUUGUUGGUAGUUAGGAUCGGAAAUGUCAUUUUUUUGCCAUAAAUGACCUAUAUCGACCCAAAUGAACCAUAGGCGUGCAUAACGAACUUGAAAUGAGUUUCAUAAACAUAUAAAUAAUCAUAUUAAUGAUUAAAAAGGUUUAGAAUGUGGAAAUAGGUUCGUUUCUUGGUAGUUUGGAUCGAAAAUGCCAUUUUUGGACAUAAACGACCUAUAUCGACCCAAAUGAACCACAGGCGUGCAUAACCAACAUGAAAUGAGUUUCAUAAACAUAUAACUAAUCAAAUGAAUCAUGAAAAAGGGUUAGAAUGUAGAAAUAGGUUCGUUUGUUGGUAGUUGGGAUUGAAAAUGCCAUUUUUGGCCAUAAAUGACCUAUAUCGACCCAAAUGACCCAUAUGGGUGCAUAAAGAACUUUAAAUGACUCUUAUAAACAUAUAACUAAUCAUAUGAAUAAUGAAAAAGGUUUAAAAUUCGAAUAUAAGUUCGUUUGUUGAUUGUUGGGAUCGAAAAUGCUAUUUUUGGCCAUAAAUGACCUAUAUCGACCCAAAUGAACCAUAGGCGUGCACAACGAACUUGAAAUGCGUCUUAUAAACAUAUAACUAAUCAUAUGAAUCAUUAAACAGGUUUAGAAUUUGAAUAUAAGUUCGUUUGUUGAUAGUUGAGAUCGAAAAUGCCAUUUUUGGCCAUAAAUGACCUAUAUCGUCCCAAAUGACCCAUGGGCGUGCAUAACGAACUUCAAUUGAGUCUUAUAAUCAUAUAACUAAUCAUAUAAAUCAUGAAAAAGGUUUAGAUUGUGGAUAGAAGUUCGUUUGUUGAUAGUUGGGAUCGAAAAUGCCAUUUUUGGCCAUAAAUGACCAAUAUCGACCCAAAUGACCCAUAGGCGUGCAUAACGAACUUGAAUUCAGUCUUAUAAUCAUAUAAAUAAUCAUCUAAAUCAUGAAAAAGGUUUAGAAUGUGGAUAUAAGUUCUUUUGUUGGUAGUUGGGAUCGAAAAUGACAUUUUGAACCAUAAAUGACAUAUAUCGACCUAAAUGAACCACAGUUGUGCAUAACCAACUUGAAAUGAGUUUCAUAAAUAUAUAACUAAUCAUAUGAAUCAUGAAAAAGGGUUAGAAUGUGGAAAGAGGUUCGUUUGUUGGUAGUUGGGUUCGUAAAUGCCAUUAUGGACCAUAAAUGACCUAUAUCGACCCAAAUGAACCACAGUUGUGCAUAACGAACUUGAAAUUAGUUUCAUAAACAUAUAACUAAUCAUAUGAAUCAUGAAAAAGGGUUAGAAUGUGGAAAGAGGUUCGUUUGUUGGUAGUUGGGUUCGAAAAUACCAUUUUUGGCCAUAAAUGACCUAUAUCGACCCAAAUGACCCAUACGCGUGCAUAACGAACUUUAAAUUAGUCUUAUAAACAUAUAAAUAAUCAUAUGAAUUAUGAAAAAGGUUUAGAAUUUGAAUAUAAGUUCGUUUGUUGAUAGUUGGGAUCGAAAAUGCUAUUUUUGGCCAUAAAUGACCUAUAUCGACUCAAAUGAACCAUAGGCGUGCAUAACGAACUUGAAAUGAGUCUUAUAAAUAUAUAACUAAUCAUAUGAAUCAUUAAAAAGGUUUAGAAUUUGAAUAUAAGUUCGUUUGUUGAUAGUUGGGAUCGAAAAUGCCAUUUUUGGCCAUAAAUGACCAAUAUCGACCCAAAUGACCCAUAGGCGUCCAUAACGAACUUGAAUUAAGUCUUAUAAUCAUAUAAAUAAUCAUCUAAAUCAUAAAAAAGGUUUAGAAUGUGGAUAUAAGUUCGUUUGUUGGUAGUUGGGAUCGAAAAUGCCAUUUUGGACCAUAAAUGACAUAUAUCGACCCAAAUGAACCACAGUUGUGCAUAACGAACUUGAAAUGAGUUUCAUAAAUAUAUAACUAAUCAUAUGAAUCAUGAAAAAGGGUUAGAAUGUGGAAAGAGGUUUGUUUGUUGGUAGUUGUGUAGGAAAAUGACAUUUUUGGCCAUAAAUGAACUAUAUCGACCCAUAUGACCCAUAGGCGUGCAUAACGAACUUAAAAUGAGUCUUAUAAACAUAUAACUAAUCAUAUGAAUCAUAAAAAACGUUUAGAAUAUGGACAUAGGUUCGUUCGUUGGUAGUUGGGAUCGAAAAUGUCAUUUUUGGCCAUAAAUGACCUAUAUCGACCCAAAUGACCCAUAGGCGUGCAUAACGAACUUAAAAUGAGUCUUAUAAACAUAUAAUUAUUCAUAUGAAUCAUGAAAAACGUUUAGAAUAUGGAAAUAGGUUCAUUUGUUGGUAGUUGGAAUCGAAAAUGUCAUUUUUGGCCAUAAAUGACCUAUAUCCACCCAAAUAACCCAUAGGCGUGCAUAACGAACUUAAAAUGAGUCUUAUAAACAUAUAAUUAAUCAUAUGAAUCACGAAAAACGUUUAGAAUAUGGAAAUAGGUUCGUUUGUUGGUAGUUGGAAUCGAAAAUGCCAUUUUUGGCCAAAAAUGUCCUAUGUCGACCCAAAUGACCCUUAGGCUUGCAUAACGAACUUGAAAUGAGUUUCAUAAAUAUAUAACUAAUCAUGUGAAUCAUGAAAAAGGGUUAGAAUGUGGAAAUAGGUUCGUUUGUUUGUAGUUGGGAUCGAAAAUGCCAUUUUUGGCCAUAAAUGACCUAUAUCGACCCAAAUGACCCACAGGCGUGAAUAACGAACUUGAAAUGAGUCUUAUAAACAUAUAACUAAUCAUAUGAAUCAUGAAAAAUAUUUAGAAAGUGUCCUUAGGUUCAUUUGUUUAUAUUUGGGAUCGAAAAUGCCAUUUUUGGCCAAAUAUGAUCUAUAUCGAGCCAAAUGAGCCUUAGAUGUGCAUAAAGAACUUGAAAUGAAUCUUAGUACACUCAGAAAGUUGUUUUCUCGACCAAUAUAAUUUCUGUUUUCGCAUAUGAAACUUAAUUUAAUUUAUUGGUUUUCAUGUACGUUGUUCUUUUAAAGGUUUUCAAAACAGAGCAGGCUUGUAGUUAUCCGUGACUAGAGCAGGCUUGUAGUUAUCCGUGACUCUUACAUUAUUUUGUUAUUUAUCGAUUUAAUUAAUUACAUUUGAAUUAAUUCGGUAAUAUUAUUGGAAAUUUGAAAUUUAUAUCAUUUUUGAGGAAUGUCAAGCUGAUGUUUG